CUCAUGGCAGAGUUCUUGAAUCCUAUGAGAGGGACGAACAUUCAGACCCCCGUAGCAGUGUUCUGGAAUCCUAUGUGAGGGA
rnacentral:miRNA from 10 species